rnacentral:rRNA from 1 species
UCUUGGUCAUUUAGAGGAAGUAAAAGUCGUAACAAGGUUUCCGUAGGUGAACCUGCGGAAGGAUCAUUAAAGAAAUUUAAUAAUUUUGAAAAUGGAUUUUUUUGUUUUGGCAAGAGCAUGAGAGCUUUUACUGGGCAAGAAGACAAGAGAUGGAGAGUCCAGCCGGGCCUGCGCUUAAGUGCGCGGUCUUGCUAGGCUUGUAAGUUUCUUUCUUGCUAUUCCAAACGGUGAGAGAUUUCUGUGCUUUUGUUAUAGGACAAUUAAAACCGUUUCAAUACAACACACUGUGGAGUUUUCAUAUCUUUGCAACUUUUUCUUCGGGCAUUCGAGCAAUCGGGGCCCAGAGGUAACAAACACAAACAAUUUUAUCUAUUCAUUAAAUUUUUGUCAAAAACAAGAAUUUUCGUAACUGGAAAUUUUAAAAUAUUAAAAACUUUCAACAACGGAUCUCUUGGUUCUCGCAUCGAUGAAGAACGCAGCGAAAUGCGAUACGUAAUGUGAAUUGCAGAAUUCCGUGAAUCAUCGAAUCUUUGAACGCACAUUGCGCCCCUUGGUAUUCCAGGGGGCAUGCCUGUUUGAGCGUCAUUUCCUUCUCAAACAUUCUGUUUGGUAGUGAGUGAUACUCUUUGGAGUUAACUUGAAAUUGCUGGCCUUUUCAUUGGAUGUUUUUUUUCCAAAGAGAGGUUUCUCUGCGUGCUUGAGGUAUAAUGCAAGUACGGUCGUUUUAGGUUUUACCAACUGCGGCUAAUCUUUUUUCAUACUGAGCGUAUUGGAACGUUAUCGAUAAGAAGAGAGCGUCUAGGCGAACAAUGUUCUUAAAGUUUGACCUCAAAUCAGGUAGGAGUACCCGCCGAACUUAAGCAUAUCAAUAAGCGGAG